rnacentral:rRNA from 1 species
UGGGGAAUAUUGCACAAUGGGCGCAAGCCUGAUGCAGCCAUGCCGCGUGUGUGAAGAAGGCCUUCGGGUUGUAAGCACUUUCAGCGAGGAGGAAGGUGGUGAGCUUAAUACGCUCAUCAAUUGACGUUACUCGCAGAAGAAGCACCGGCUAACUCCGUGCCAGCAGCCGCGGUAAUACGGAGGGUGCAAGCGUUAAUCGGAAUUACUGGGCGUAAAGCGCACGCAGGCGGUUUGUUAAGUCAGAUGUGAAAUCCCCGGGCUCAACCUGGGAACUGCAUUUGAAACUGGCAAGCUAGAGUCUCGUAGAGGGGGGUAGAAUUCCAGGUGUAGCGGUGAAAUGCGUAGAGAUCUGGAGGAAUACCGGUGGCGAAGGCGGCCCCCUGGACGAAGACUGACGCUCAGGUGCGAAAGCGUGGGGCAGCAAACAGGAUUAGAUACCCUGGUAGUCCACGCUGUAAACGAUGUCGAUUUUGGAGGUUGUGCCCCUUGAGGCGUGGGCUUCCCGGAGCUAACGC